GUGCCAGCAGCCGCGGUAAUACGGGGGGUGCAAGCGUUGUUCGGAAUUAUUGGGCGUAAAGAGCGUGUAGGCGGCUUGAUAAGUCAGAUGUGAAAGCCCUGGGCUUAACCCAGGAAGUGCAUUUGAAACUGUCUUGCUGGAGUAAGGGAGGGGGAAGUGGAAUUCCUGGUGUAGAGGUGAAAUUCGUAGAUAUCAGGAGGAACACCGGUGGCGAAGGCGACUUCCUGGCCCUAUACUGACGCUGAGACGCGAGAGCGUGGGUAGCAAACAGGAUUAGAAACCCUAGUAGUCC
rnacentral:rRNA from 1 species